UACGUAGGGUGCAAGCGUUAAUCGGAAUUACUGGGCGUAAAGCGUGCGCAGGCGGUUUUGUAAGUCAGAUGUGAAAUCCCCGGGCUUAACCUGGGAACUGCAUUUGUGACUGCAUGGCUGGAGUGCGGCAGAGGGGGAUGGAAUUCCGCGUGUAGCAGUGAAAUGCGUAGAUAUGCGGAGGAACACCGAUGGCGAAGGCAAUCCCCUGGGCCUGCACUGACGCUCAUGCACGAAAGCGUGGGGAGCAAACAGG
rnacentral:rRNA from 1 species